UAGUCUGCAACCCGACUACAUGAAGCUGGAAUCGCUAGUAAUCGCGGAUCAGAAUGCCGCGGUGAAUACGUUCCCGGGUCUUGUACACACCGCCCGUCACACCAUGGGAGUCGGAAAUGCCCGAAGUCUGUGACCCAACCUUAGGGAGGGAGCAGCCGAAGGCAGGUCGGAUGACUGGGGUGAAGUCGUAACAAGGUAGC
rnacentral:rRNA from 1 species